AGUCGUACAGAGUUUCCGUAGGUGACCUGCGGAAGGAUCAUUGUCGAAUCUUGCACGGCAGAACGACCCGUGAACUCGUGAUUUCAAAGCAGCCGGCGGAGCACUGCUCCUCCGCCUGCCGGGACCGCCCGCGCGCUCCGUCGCUCGAGCGAUCCCGAUCGUACAACGUACCCCCGGCGCGGAAGGCGCCAAGGAACAUGAACAAGAGAAGCACGUGAGUGCCGUGUCCCCCUCGAGGGGAUGUCGGGGCGACCGUGCCGUCUCAGAACUAACAACAACGACUCUCGGCAACGGAUAUCUCGGCUCUCGCAUCGAUGAAGAACGUAGCGAAAUGCGAUACUUGGUGUGAAUUGCAGAAUCCCGUGAACCAUCGAGUCUUUGAACGCAAGUUGCGCCCGAAGCCAUCCGGCUGAGGGCACGUCUGCCUGGGUGUCACGCAACAUGUCGCCCCCAAGCCCAAUCCCUCCCCAGCAUCAAGGGGUGCGGCGGCGGCGCGGGGCGCGGAUGCUGGCCUCCCGUGGCCUUGAGCUGCGGCUGGCCCAAAAGUGAGCAAUGGAGCGACGUACUCCGCGGCGCGCGGUGGUGCUGAAAUCGCCCCUCGGGCAUCGAGUCCGGACCGUCUCUCCAGCGCUGCUCGUUGGCCUUCGAUCGAAACACAUGCGACCCCAGGUCAGGCGGGGCCACCCGCUGAGUUUAA
rnacentral:rRNA from 1 species